rnacentral:rRNA from 1 species
GGGCGACUGAACGGGAAGAGCCCAGCGCAGAACCUCGUGUCCUCCCCGGCACGAGGGGUGUUGCGUUUCGGAGGGUCCAGCACGCCGUGCCAUACCGCCUAAGUCAAGCUUGAAAGCGGCCACUACCCAGGGAGGGUGACAGGCCCGUGUGGCGGCGCCCGCGAGGGCACAGAUGGCGCGGUCGGAAAGGGCCUCUCUGUAGAGUCGGGUUGCUUAAUAAUGCAGCCCAAAGCAGGUGGUAAACUCCAUCUAAGGCUAAAUAUGACCACGAGACCGAUAGCGAACAAGUACCGUGAGGGAAAGUUGAAAAGAACUUUGAAGAGAGAGUUCAAGAGUACGUGAAACCGUUAAGAGCCAAACGGAUGGAACCUCGAAGGUCGAACUGAGGGGAUUCAGCUCGUCGGCCGCCGGCACGGGGCGGGUGUUCGUUAACUCGGAGCGACCCAAGAAUGCUUGGGCGUGCUCGCCCUCGCUGCUGACGUCGGCGGGCGUAUUUCGCCUCGUAGUAGGGGCGCCGCGACCCGUCGCUGGGGACGUCCAAGGCCCGGACGGACUGGUACCCUACCUUCGAACCGGCCCUUCGCGGGGCCGGCGAGGGGUAGGCGAAACCGCCGGUGUGUCUUUUCCUGGCUGCCCUGCGACGGUCGUAGAGACGAGCUCUGCCUCCUCCUCCUCCGCCGCCUUCUUCCUCUCCUCGUGGGAGGGGCGGGCGGCGGGAAGGGCAGGGCUCUCGCGGCGUGCAAAAAGAUCGGUGAUCCAUCCGACCCGUCUUGAAACACGGACCAAGGAGUCUAACAUGUGUGCGAGUCAGUGGGCGCACUAAACCCAAAGGCGUAAUGAAAGUGACAAGUCCGGCGUCCGUGUCGUUCCACGGCCCGGGCGCCGGACCCGGGGCCGAUCCCCCGCCGGCUGCCUCUGCCUCCUCCCCGACGUCCCGGCAUGCCUAGGUGAGCUAUUUUCCCUGGCCGCUGCUCCGUGCGGCGUCGGGGGCUGGCUGGAGCGCGAAGGCGUGUGCGUGGGUAACCCUCACCAUAUCCUGUCCGCAGGGGGGCGCAGGCCCGGGACUUGCCAGGACGCCGCCAGGCCACCCCGCGAGGUUCUUUGGAGUGCUGCUCCGGGCCGAGCUGGGGGGUCAUCACGCGUGCAGUCGGCAAGUACCAUGAGCAGACAUGUUGGGACCCGAAAGAUGGUGAACUAUGCCUGGCCAGGAUGAAGCCAGAGGAAACUCUGGUGGAGGUCCGUAGCGAUUCUGACGUGCAAAUCGAUCGUCUGAGCUGGGUAUAGGGGCGAAAGACUAAUCGAACCAUCUAGUAGCUGGUUCCCUCUGAAGUUUCCCUCAGGAUAGCUGGAACUCGCAGGAUGAAUUUCAUCCGGUAAAGCGAAUGAUUAGAGGUCUUGGGGACGAAACGUCUCCAAUACCUAUUCUCAAACUUUAAAUGGGUGAGAUGCCGAGCUUGCUUGAACGCUGAAGCUUCGGCGACUAAUCUGAGUAUCUAGUGGGCCAUUUUUGGUAAGCAGAACUGGCGCUGUGGGAUGAACCAAACGUCGAGUUAAGGGGCCUAAAUGAAUGCUCAUUCAGAUCCCAUCGAAAGGCGUUGGUUGCUAUAGACAGCAGGACGGUGGCCAUGGAAGUUGGAAUCCGCUAAGGAGUGUGUAACAACUCACCUGCCGAAGCAACUAGCCCUUAAAAUGGUAUGGCGCUCAAGCAUUCUCCCGAUACUCGACCGCCGGGGCACUGGCGGCCACGCACCACACCAGGCGAGGUCUCGAAGCCCCGGUGAGUAAGAGGGUCGCAGUGGUGAGCGCUGAAGGGAUCCGGCGCGAGCCGGCCUGGAGCCGCCACUGGUGCAGAUCUUGGUGGUAGUAGCAAAUACUCGAGAGAGACUCCCUUGAAGACCGAAGUGGAGAAGGGUUCCAUGUGAACAUCAGUUGGACAUGGGUUAGUCGCUCCUAAGCCCAAGGCUAAGGCCUGAUCCCACGCCAGCGGCAAUGGCCAAGCAAACGAGGAAGACGACGACGACGACGACGACGCCGCCGCCGCGUACUCUUCCUGCGGAGUUUUUUGUUGCCCGGGAUCAGUGGCGAAAGGGAAUACGGUACUUAUUCCGUAACCAGGACUCGGAUACCAAGCAGGCGCAGUUUUCCCAGAAGGGAUUGCUGCUGCCCUGUGGAGGACCCCGGUAACGGGAACCAGCUCGCGUCCGCCGGCGGUGGUCCGGGAAAGAGUUUUCUUUUCUGUUUAAGGCGCCGUGACCCUAGAAGCCAUUCGCAGAGAGAAAGGGUGUUGGUAACACGGUUUGCCGUAGAGCGCCGCGAUUCUUG